GAUGAAGAACGUAGCGAAAUGCGAUAAGUAAUGUGAAUUGCAGAAUUCAGUGAAUCAUCGAAUCUUUGAACGCACAUUGCGCCCGCCAGUAUUCUGGCGGGCAUGCCUGUUCGAGCGUCAUUACAACCCUCAGGCCCCCGGGCCUGGCGUUGGGGAUCGGCGGAGCCCCCCCGUGGGCACACGCCGUCCCCCAAAUGCAGUGGCGGUCCCGCCGCAGCUUCCAUCGCGUAGUAGCUAACACCUCGCGACUGGAGAGCGGCGCGGCCACGCCGUAAAACACCCAACUCUUCUGAAGUUGACCUCGAAUCAGGUAGGAAUACCCGCUGAACUUAAGCAUAUCAAUAAGCGGAGGA
rnacentral:misc_RNA from 1 species